rnacentral:rRNA from 1 species
CCCUUAGAUGUUCUGGGCUGCACGCGUGCUACAAUGGCGUUUCCAGCAAGUCUGCGAACCCGAGAGGGCCAGCGGAUCUUCGAAUUGGCGUCGUGAUCGGGACAGUCGAUUGCAAUUAUUUGACUCAAACGAGGAAUUCCUUGUAGUCGCGAUUCAUCAUAUCGCGCUGAAUACGUCCCUGCCCUUUGUACACACCGCCCGUCGCUCCUACCGAUUGAGCGAUCCGGUAAAUGUUUUGGAUUGGUGCCGGGGCGGCUAGCUGCCGGUCGCUACGAAAUUUUGUGAACCUUAUCGCUUAGAGGAAGGAAAAGUCGUAACA